UCCCUGAAAUCAUUAAUGGAGUCUUGUUUUAUAUAUAUAUAUAUAUAUCUCUCUCGUUAUAGAUCUCUCUUUCUCGUUAAACCGUUGGUUGAAGAUCUCGUUAAAGCCCUUUCCUCAACCGUUGAUUUAUUGCAAUUGCCGCUGAUUCUUACCGUCACCGGCUCCAAUUAUUGUUGUCACCGACUCCGAUUCUCACUGUCGUCGUCGCCACCGCUGAUUCUCGUCGUCGCCGCCGCCGAUUCUCGUCGCUGUCACCACCGAUUGGUUAUUGAUUCUAAAGUUUCGAAGUUCGAUUCAAAGAGUUUUUUAGCUAAGCUUCUAGAUUGUGUCAAUUCGUUGCCGACAAACCCGAUGAUAUUUAAAGUUUCUUCAUCGUCGGAUAUUUGCAAGGCACUUCCAAGUUUUACUUCUCCUGAGCACGAGUAUCCAAUUUGCACUUGUGUCCAAUCUUUACUUCAUCUCCCAGCUGCUAUACAGGAAAUUCAGUGGAAACUUUCUAGUGAAUCUCUUGGGUAAAUGGAAAGAAUCUGAGUAUUCAGGUGGUCAGUAUAUUCCCGUGGGUGGUCUAGCAUAUUAUAUUACUGCACCAUCGAGCUUAGCUGAUAUGGCAGCCAAUCCUUUCCAUGCACUGUUCUAUCUUGUGUUCAUGUUGUCUGCAUGUGCACUCUUCUAAAAAACAUGGAUUGAAGUUUCUGGAUCUUCUGCUAGGG